AGUGAACGCUGGCGGCAGGCCUAAUACAUGCAAGUCGAACGGCAGCACAGUAAGAGCUUGCUCUUACGGGUGGCGAGUGGCGGACGGGUGAGGAAUACAUCGGCAUCUACUUUUUCGUGGGGGAUAACGUAGGGAAAUUUACGCUAAUACCGCAUACGAUCUACGGGUGAAUGCAGGGGAUCUUCGGACCUUGCGCGAUUGUAUGAGCCGAUGUCGGAUUAGCUAGUUGGCGGGGUAAAGGCCCACCAAGGCGACGAUACGUAGCUGGUCUGAGAGGAUGAUCAGCCACACUGGAACUGAGACACGGUCCAGACUCCUACGGGAGGCAGCAGUAGGGAAUAUUGCACAAUGGGCGCAAGCCUGAUCCAGCCAUGCCGCGUGAGUGAAGAAGGCCUUCGGGUUGUAAAGCCCUUUUAUUGGGAAAGAAAAGCAGCAGGUUAAUACCCCGCUGUUCUGACGGUACCCAAAGAAUAAGCACCGGCUAACUUCGUG
rnacentral:rRNA from 1 species